rnacentral:rRNA from 1 species
GACGAACGCUGGCGGCGUGCCUAAUACAUGCAAGUUGAGCGCUGAAGGUUGGUACUUGUACCAACUGGAUGAGCAGCGAACGGGUGAGUAACGCGUGGGGAAUCUGCCUUUGAGCGGGGGACAACAUUUGGAAACGAAUGCUAAUACCGCAUAAAAACUUUAAACACAAGUUUUAAGUUUGAAAGAUGCAAUUGCAUCACUCAAAGAUGAUCCCGCUUUGUAUUAGCUAGUUGGUGAGGUAAAGGCUCACCAAGGCGAUGAUACAUAGCCGACCUGAGAGGGUGAUCGGCCACAUUGGGACUGAGACACGGCCCAAACUCCUACGGGAGGCAGCAGUAGGGAAUCUUCGGCAAUGGACGAAAGUCUGACCGAGCAACGCCGCGUGAGGGAAGAAGGUUUUCGGAUCGUAAAACUCUGUUGGUAGAGAAGAACGUUGGUGAGAGUGGAAAGCUCAUCAAGUGACGGUAACUACCCAGAAAGGGACGGCUAACUACGUG